rnacentral:rRNA from 1 species
GAUGAACGCUAGCGACAGGCCUAACACAUGCAAGUCGAGGGGCAGCACGGUGUAGCAAUACACGGGUGGCGACCGGCGCACGGGUGAGUAACGCGUAUGCAACCUGCCUACUACAAGGGGAUAACCCGUUGAAAGACGGACUAAUACCCUAUAACGCAGGGAAUCCGCAUGGAUAUAUUUGUUAAAGAUUUAUCGGUAGUAGAUGGGCAUGCGUUCCAUUAGCUUGUUGGUGAGGUAACGGCUCACCAAGGCAACGAUGGAUAGGGGAACUGAGAGGUUGAUCCCCCACACUGGAACUGAGACACGGUCCAGACUCCUACGGGAGGCAGCAGUGAGGAAUAUUGGUCAAUGGACGAGAGUCUGAACCAGCCAAGUCGCGUGAAGGAAGACGGCCCUACGGGUUGUAAACUUCUUUUGUAAGGGAAUAAAUAGUCUUACGCGCUAAGACGUUGCAGGUACCUUACGAAUAAGGAUCGGCUAACUCCGUG